GCAGUCGUGGCCGAUUGGUUAAGGUGAUGGACUAGAAAUCCAUCCGAGUCUCCCACACAGGUUCGAAUCUUGUCGACUGCG
rnacentral:tRNA from 2 species